AACAGGCUAAUUUGCGCAAGAGAGUACAAAUUGAGUGCGCGGUUUGGCACCUCGAUGUCGGCUUAGCUCAUCCACAUGAAUGCAAAAUCAUGAAGGGUUCGACUGUUCGUCGAUUAAGAGCUACAUGAGCUGGGUUUAAUACGUCGUGAGACAGUAU
rnacentral:ncRNA from 1 species